AUGAUAGUCACUUUCCAUGAUAAACAGUCAUACAUAUUGAUGGAUGAAUUUAGGGCUGAACAGAAUGAGGAAAUGAAUCAUGUUAGUUGCAGAGUAGUUGGUCACUUUGACUGGAUUUCAAAUGUUCUCUUAUUUAACAGUUGGCAAAAAAUACCUAAUUUUUUCUCUUUUUUUUUUCCUAGAAUUGACAGAUCUGAAGGAUAGAGCAGCUGGUGGUGUUAGGAAGGGGAUGUAAAAUAUAAAAGCAGCUGGCAAUUUUCUGUCUGAAGGAAAAGGAAAAAACAGUGAGGAAGAUUGGAACUACUACAUAUCAACGGAGAAGAAAAGUAGUAAUGGAAUUGGAUAGUUGUACAAUAUGCUUGCAGAAUGGAGAAUGAAAACAAUUGCUUAAAUACAAUCUUGUAGUGAUAGAAUUAAAAGUCUGUCUUCAGUCCUCUCUGCUGGACACAAGAGACUCUCUCUGUUAGAAUUAAAGAAACAUCAGUUGGCUCUUCUGCCAAAGACGUUUUGACUUUCUGAAGCUGUACUUUCCUUUAACAACCUUAUUUUGAAACAAUUCCGAAGAAACGUUCAAAGUAAAAAUAACAUAUCAAUGGCUUAAAAUCUUGAAAGGUUUUGAAAACUAAAACUGAACAGAAAUUAGAAUUUGUUCUGUAGUCGUGAAUUGCUCCUAACCAGAAUUUAAAUAGCAAUCCCAUGCUAGAAAAGAUCAUCAUAUUUGAUUGUCAUCCUUUAUUUUAUAGAUGCAGUCUCAUGUUAUGUACCUGCUAAAGUUGGCUGUUCUCUUCUGAAUCGUAUUGCAUGAUAAUAUCAAACAUGUAAGAGCUAAUAUUCUCUGAGCACUUGUCUAUCUAUAAAGUAAAGGGAAAAAAUGUUAAGCACUGGUAAUGUAAAUACUGAAUCAGUUAACUAGUAUCAGUUUUAAUUUGCGUAAUUAAACUCUUCUGGAAAUGAAUUAAAAGUCCAAUUUUGUGUUGGCUUGUUGUAAACCCGACCUCUGCAUGCACAAAUCUAAAUGGAAAAAAAUGAUUUUAUUAACUUAUGCUGAUGUGACUUGAUUCUUUAUCUCUUAGCCUGUCCACGAGAGUAACAGCAGCUCCUUAUCAGACGAUGCUGUUAUGUCUGAUGAUAGUUGUAGUGGAGAGACUUCAAAUAUCCAUACUCUCUUGCCUCAUUUUUGUUCUAGUCUAAACAUCACAUCGCAUAUAGAGCAUCCCAACUCAAAAAGCAAAAUGCAAAUAGGCUGUUUGUGUUGGAGACAAAGCUGAAAGGGAAAUAAAGAUGGGUUACAGUUAUGGUGGCA
rnacentral:lncRNA from 1 species